rnacentral:rRNA from 1 species
UACGAAGGGUGCAAACGUUGCUCGGAAUCAUUGGGCGUAAAGCGCACGUAGGUGGUUUUCUAAGUCAGCUGUGAAAUCCCCGGGCUCAACCUGGGACUUGCAGUUGAAACUGGGAAGCUAGAGUAGGGUAGAGGGGUGUGGAAUUCCAGGUGUAGCGGUGAAAUGCGUAGAUAUCUGGAGGAACAUCAGUGGCGAAGGCGACACCCUGGACUCAUACUGACACUGAGGUGCGAAAGCGUGGGGAGCAAACAGG